GUCUUCGUGGCUCAGUUGGCUAGAGCGUUGGUCUCAUACUUCUAUGACCCAAUUACACAUUGGGAUAUCCAAAGGUCGUGAGUUCGAGCCUCACCGAGGACA
rnacentral:tRNA from 1 species